rnacentral:tRNA from 1 species
GGUUCCAUGGUCUAGUGGUUAGGACAUUGGACUCUGAAUCCAGUAACCCGAGUUCAAAUCUCGGUGGAACCUUA